AACGAACGCUGGCGGCAUGCCUAACACAUGCAAGUCGAACGAAGCCUUCGGGCUUAGUGGCGCACGGGUGCGUAACGCGUGGGAAUCUGCCUCUUGCUUCGGAAUAACAGUGGGAAACUACUGCUAAUACCGGAUGAUGUCUUCGGACCAAAGAUUUAUCGGCAAGAGAUGAGCCCGCGUAGGAUUAGGUAGUUGGUGGGUAAAGGCCUACCAAGCCGACGAUCCUUAGCUGGUCUGAGAGGAUGAUCAGCCACACUGGGACUGAGACACGGCCCAGACUCCUACGGGAGGCAGCAGUGGGGAAUAUUGGACAAUGGGGGCAACCCUGAUCCAGCAAUGCCGCGUGAGUGAUGAAGGCCUUAGGGUUGUAAAGCUCUUUUACCAGGGAUGAUAAUGACAGUACCUGGAGAAUAAGCUCCGGCUAACUCCGUGCCAGCAGCCGCAGUAAAAC
rnacentral:rRNA from 1 species